CAGGAGAGAACUGGUCAGAACGAGCCCGUGCUGAAACGGUGCGUGUUGUUUUUUUUUUUGGAAAAAUCAGAGAGAGACCGUGGCAUGGAAGAGGGAGAAGCAUAAGCGCAGACAUAGAAAGAAAACAGGAGAGAAAAAUAUGGACUAAGAUCGCUGUCAAAAAUAACUCGUAAUAAUGUACGUUAAAUGUACGCUUCACAAGCGUAAAUUACGCUUGCGCUUCUGAAAAAUACGCUUGCUUCUGAAAUUUACGCUUGCGCUUCUGAAAAUUACGCUUGCUUCUGAAAUUUACGCUUGCGCUACUGAAAAUUACGAGUGGUUUCUCAAACGUGAACAACCUGUCAAAAAACGUCAUUGGACGUACAAGGAAUUCUCUAUCGAGGAAGAAACAAUCGAUUUUUGUUACUGUAUACGCAUGUGCCAGAAAGAUGGCGAACCAACCGAAUGCGCCGAAUUCACAGGUAUCUGACCUAAUAACAGGUGCAUUUCCAAAGCUAGCAAGUGUUUCUGGUGGCUGGGUACUCCAGAAAAGCUCAGGAUGUCUCUGAAGAAGAAACUCCAGAAGAGGUGGUAUGUCUGUCUGAUGGAGACACAACUGACAGUAGUAUGUGUCCUGUUUGCGAAAAGGCAUUUGCUAGAGACAUCAUUGAAAUUCAUGCUUCAGACUGUGGAUUAUGGAUUGCACAGUGUACCAGCAAUAAGGAAACUACACCAACAAAAGUGACACAGUGUUUCCAAAGCUGCGAAGACAUUUUAAAUUGCAUCAGCUCCCAAGUUGAUGAUGUGGACACAUUUUCUGUAUGUGUAUCUCGACGUGACAUCUUCCAACGAGGCAUGCAGCAAUGGCAACGGCAAAAAAAAGCUUCCCCCAAAAGUAAACUGAAAGUCACUUUUUUUGGGGAAGCAGGUGUUGAUACUGGUGCCUUAAGGAAAGAAUUCUUAACAGAAAUGCUUUCAGAAAUUGAAAGGAAGCUGUUUGUCUGUAAUGGUGAUGGAAAAGGGAAAAAUCCUGUUUACUGUUUGAACAGCUUAGACCAGAAGUAUUUCAGGGUUGCUGGAAAAUAAUAUCAGUAAGUCUGGCUCAAGGUGGGCCCCCACCUUCCUUUCUUCGUGAGUGGUGCUAUCAGUACCUGUGCUCUGGUGAUGCUGACCACUUACAGGUCUGUACCAGUGAUGUUUUAGAUAUGGAGAUGUCCCUGCUUAUUGCAAAGGUUAAUGAUGCCACUGAAGACAACAUAACAGACCUGACUGAUGAAAUUAUAAACUGUGGAUACACAGGAGUUGUGUCUCUGGAAAAGAAGGAUCGUAUUGUCAGGUAUUUAUGAGGAAGAAACAUUUUGCACAAGUGUUUACUUGCGUUACCAAACCAUGUCAUUUGUCUGUGUCCUCUGUACAGAGCUAUUGUACUUCAUUACACCAUGAUGGUUCUCCCUAUGCUGGAUCAGCUCAGAAAAGGUCUCCAGCUUUACGAUCUAUUGGUUCUCAUGGAGAAGUAUCCUGACAUCUGCCUUCCUCUGUUUGUUCCAGUCCAUUCUGAUGACAGAGUAAUUUUACUUUUUUAAAAAGUAAUUUUACUUUUUUCCUGUAUUCUAACAAAAACAGAAUAUCACGACCGUUCUUUCUCUUUGGUCAACUCUACCUUCAUAAUGGAAAAUUGCAAAACUCUAUUCAGUGAGAAGGGUUCUGUCAGGUAUAGCAACGAAAUAUGCAUCAUGAACUUUUUCCAGGAUUACCUUCAGGACAUUGAGGAUCAUGGUAUGUAUACUAUUAUUAAAGUAUUAUUAAUAUGUAUCUAUCAUCCCUAAAUAACAUAUUUCAUCCUCUUUAUGUAUUUAAGAAGAUGACAAGAAUGUGGAUGAGAGCCAAGCAAAAAUCACUGUUGGCAGGGUUAUGCAGUGGAUUACCGGACAAAGUCACAAACCUAUUCUCCCAGGAGAAAAGGAAGAGUUCAAGAUACUUGUUAAAUUCAAUCAUGACUGUGAUGUAGACCAUACUGUAUGCUUUCCAGUUGUGAGUGCAUGUUCUAGCACAAUAAUAUUUCCAACCGCUCAUGCAAAGACCUUUGAGGAUUUCAAAAACAUUAUGGAUUUAGCUUUAUGUUACGGACAGUCAUUCGACAGGGUGUGAGACAACCUCACUGGUCAGACCUACAACUACAGACAGCUUAAAUUCUUUAAUAGCUUUAAAUUUACAUAGUUUUUCUUCAAAAUAUAUGUAGUCAUUCUGAGAUGUAAAUGUGUUGACAGAAAUGUAUAAUGUGCUCUCAAAUUGUCAAGUGUAUAUAUGUGAAAUAGUUUGUAUUGAUGACCGAUGGGUGGCAGCUGUGAGCUAAGCCGAUGUUGUAAAAGUGUUAAUAAAGUUUUUUCUUCUUGACGGUAAAGA